UACGGGGGGGGCAAGCGUUGUUCGGAAUUACUGGGCGUAAAGGGUUCGUAGGUGGCUUGCUAAGUCAGACGUGAAAUCCCUCAGCUUAACUGGGGAACUGCGUCUGAUACUGGCGAGCUUGAGUGCAGGAGAGGAACGCGGAAUUCCAGGUGUAGCGGUGAAAUGCGUAGAUACCUGGAGGAACACCGGUGGCGAAGGCGGCGUUCUGGACUGCAACUGACACUGAUGAACGAAAGCCAGGGGAGCAAACGGG
rnacentral:rRNA from 1 species